CCUACGGGGGGCAGCAGUGGGGAAUAUUGGACAAUGGGCGCAAGCCUGAUCCAGCAAUGCCGCGUGUGUGAAGAAGGCCUGCGGGUUGUAAAGCACUUUAAGCAGGAAAGAAGGGUUCGGAGUUAAUACCUCUGGACAUUGACGUUACCUGCAGAAUAAGCACCGGCUAACUCCGUGCCAGCAGCCGCGGUAAUACGGAGGGUGCAAGCGUUAAUCGGAAUUACUGGGCGUAAAGCGUGCGUAGGCGGUUGAUUAAGUCCGCUGUGAAAGCCCUGGGCUCAACCUGGGAACUGCAGUGGAUACUGGUCGGCUAGAGUGUGGUAGAGGGUAGUGGAAUUUCCGGUGUAGCAGUGAAAUGCGUAGAGAUCGGAAGGAACACCAGUGGCGAAGGCGACUAUCUGGACCAACACUGACGCUGAGGUACGAAAGCGUGGGGAGCAAACAGGAUUAGAUACCCGAGUAGUC
rnacentral:rRNA from 1 species